rnacentral:rRNA from 1 species
ACAUGCAAGUCGAACGUGAAAGUCCUUCGGGGCGAGUAAAGUGGCGCACGGGUGAGUAACGCGUGGAUAAUCUACCCUUAAGAUGGGGAUAACGGCUGGAAACGGUCGCUAAUACCGAAUACGCUCCCGAUUUUAUCGUUGGGGGGAAAGAUGGCCUCUGCUUGCAAGCUAUCGCUUAAGGAUGAGUCCGCGUCCCAUUAGCUAGUUGGCGGGGUAACGGCCCACCAAGGCAACGAUGGGUAGCCGGUCUGAGAGGAUGACCGGCCACACUGGAACUGGAACACGGUCCAGACUCCUACGGGAGGCAGCAGUGGGGAAUAUUGCGCAAUGGGCGAAAGCCUGACGCAGCGACGCCGCGUGAGGGAUGAAGGUUCUCGGAUCGUAAACCUCUGUCAGGGGGGAAGAAACCCCCUCGUGUGAAUAAUGCGAGGGCUUGACGGUACCCCCAAAGGAAGCACCGGCUAACUCCGUGCCAGCAGCCGCGGUAAUACGGAGGGUGCAAGCGUUAAUCGGAAUCACUGGGCGUAAAGCGCACGUAGGCGGCCUGGUAAGUCAGGGGUGAAAUCCCACAGCCCAACUGUGGAACUGCCUUUGAUACUGCCAGGCUUGAGUACCGGAGAGGGUGGCGGAAUUCCAGGUGUAGGAGUGAAAUCCGUAGAUAUCUGGAGGAACACCGGUGGCGAAGGCGGCCACCUGGACGGUAACUGACGCUGAAGUGCGAAAGCGUGGGUAGCAAACAGGAUUAGAUACCCUGGUAGUCCACGCUGUAAAC